UACGGAGGGGGCAAGCGUUGUUCGGAAUUACUGGGCGUAAAGGGCGCGUAGGCGGAACGUCAAGUUAGGGGUGAAAGGCCUGGGCUCAACCUGGGAACGGCCUCUAAAACUAUCAGUCUAGAGGUCGAGAGAGGUGAGUGGAAUUCCCGGUGUAGCGGUGAAAUGCGCAGAGAUCGGGAGGAAUACCAGUGGCGAAGGCGGCCUUCUGGACUGACACUGACACUGAGGUGCGAAAGCGUGGGUAGCAAACAGG
rnacentral:misc_RNA from 1 species